CUACGGGAUGCUCCAGUGGGGAAUAUUGCACAAUGGGCGCAAGCCUGAUGCAGCCAUGCCGCGUGUAUGAAGAAGGCCUUCGGGUUGUAAAGUACUUUCAGCGGGGAGGAGGGGAGUAAAGUUAAUACCUUUGCUCAUUGACGUUACCCGCAGAAGAAGCACCGGCUAACUCCGUGCCAGCAGCCGCGGUAAUACGGAGGGUGCAAGCGUGUAAUCGGAAUUACUGGGCGUAAAGCGCACGCAGGCGGUUUGUUAAGUCAGAUGUGAAAUCCCCGGGCUCAACCUGGGAACUGCAUCUGAUACUGGCAAGCUUGAGUCUCGUAGAGGGGGGUAGAAUUCCAGGUGUAGCGGUGAAAUGCGUAGAGAUCUGGAGGAAUACCGGUGGCGAAGGCGGCCCCCUGGACGAAGACUGACGCUCAGGUGCGAAAGCGUGGGGAGCAAACAGGAUUAGAUACCUCGUAGUC
rnacentral:rRNA from 1 species